rnacentral:lncRNA from 1 species
CCUCCCUCCAAAAAUCGACAUCUCCAUUCCCAUUCUCUCCAAAACCAAGGAUCUAGCUCAAGGUUCUUCUCCCUUCUCCUCUCCACCAUAAAUCGCCACCUAGGAAAGGGGAUUUUUGUGCUUUUUCCCUUUGAUUGAAACGGUUGGAGCGUGCCCUAGCACUCCACCGUUCUUCUCAAAUCUGCCUCUUCUCCCCACCAAAAUCCCU